CGGAGACGGCGCUUCCGGUCGGCGGCGGGCGGCGCGGGCGGCGCGGACGGCGGGCGGCGGAGGCUGCGGGGUUGUCCCACUGCUGGCCUCUCUGCAGGAAGCAGCAAGCAGAGCCCGGGGCCAGAGUGGCCCAGAGAGGACUGCCCUGAUGAGCGCAUGCACAGGACACUGAGUGCAGUUCCCCGGGCUAUACAGUAGGACUUUGUGGUUGGUUGUAUGUGUAGACACUUGUGUCUGCGAAUCCCAAACGCUUAAUUUACCCUCCCCCCGCUCUGGUAACAAAUUUUCUCUGUCUAGGUUUUCGUAAUAAUGGCCAUUCCGACUCGUGUGAGGUGAUACCUCAUUGUAGUUUUGGUUUGCAUUUCUCUAAUAAUUAGCAAUGCUGAGCAUCUUUUCAUGUGCCUCUGGGCCAUCUGUGUAUAUUCUUUGGAAAAAUGUCUGUUUAGG